ACGGCUCAGUAACACGUCGAUAAUCUAACCUUAAGUCUGGAAUACCCUUGGUAAACUGAGGUUAACACCGGAUAGGAGAUUAUAUCUGGAAUGGUUUUUCUCUUAAAAGAAAUGCUUAAGGAUGAGUCGGCGGCCGAUUAGGCUGUUGGUGAGGUAACGGCUCACCAAACCUUAGAUCGGUAGGGGCCUUGAGAGAGGGAGCCCCGAGAGGGACACUGAGAAACUGGUCCCAGCCCUACGGGGUGCAGCAGGCGCGAAAACUCUACACUACACGAAAGUGUGAUAGGGGGAUCCUGAGUGCAUAUGCAUUGCAUAUGCCUUUUUCAAGAGUAAAUAUCCUGGAGAAUAAGUGGUGGGCAAGACUGGUGCCAGCCGCCGCGGUAACACCAGCGCCACAAGUGGCAACCACUUUUAUUGGGCCUAAAGCGUUCGUAGCCGGUUUGAUAAAUCUUUUGUGAAAUCGUAACGCUCAACGUUACGACGAGCAGGAGACACUAUCAAACUAGGAACCGGGAGGAGUCAGAGGUAUUAUUGGGGGAGCGGUAAAAUGCUAUAAUCCCAGUAGGACCACCUGUGGCGAAGGCGUCUGACUAGAACGGAUUCGACGGUGAGGAACGAAAGCUAGGGGAGCAAACCGGAUUAGAUACCCGAGUAGUCCUAGCUGUAAACUCUGCGAGCAAGGUGUCACGUAUUCUUUUAGAGUACGUGGUGUCGAAACGAAGGUGUUAAGCUCGCCGCCUGGGUAGUACGGUCGCAAGGCUGAAACUUAAAGGAAUUGGCGGGGGAGCAC
rnacentral:rRNA from 1 species